UGAAUGACUAGAAAGCAUGGAACAAAUUGAAAAACACAAGAAGAAAAGAAACAAAUUUCACGCCAAACCCUUUCUUCUUUAGCAGAUCCUUUCUUCUCCAUACCCUCUCCUAUCAUGACUGAGUUAUCCACCAAAUCUCCGCAGUGCUUGAGCUUUCCACGAAACCUUUUUUUCUGCAAACUUUUGUCACGUCUAAGUUCUGAUUUCAACAAUUGCCUCAAAUCUUGUCCAAUUCAUGUCCACAUACCUUCGAGUUCAACAAUUGCCCUAAUCCCUUUGAUUUUGACACUCAAUUGCUGCCUCUAAUCCCUAAUCUAACAUUCCGCUUCUAAUCGAGAGACCGCGACGAACCAUAAUCUCACGAUUCAACUGUCAAUCGUAGCAUCGUAAUUUAGCAUCAGAAGUCAGUUCGUUCUGUCCUCGGGAAAGCAUGUUUGCUGAUUUAAGAUGUUCUCCAUGGCACCGUAUCACUUUGUCCUCCCGAUUGUUUUCCGUACAAAUGAACACUGGGUAUCAUGUCUAAAAGUAUACAACAGGUUGGAAUUUACCUUCCUUGCUAUGACAUAUUCCGCAACUGGUUCGAGGAAUACACAACCAAAAGUGCUCCAACCGCAACUCCAUAUGUACCUUUAGUGGCUAGUUCAUGGGCACGCUCACUUGUUUGUGCAACUUGUUUUCUUCUCGAAGUACCAUGUUGUUUAUGCCAUAGUUAUGUUCCAUGUAUGUUUGAAUCUACAUUGUCAUUGAUUCUAAAUUGACCAUAGUUUUUUUUAUAAUCAACUGUACACUGACUAGGUGCUAUAUUUGUUAGUAUAAUAAAUAGAGCAAGACUACAUAAAUACACACACAAAUUUAAGCCUUUCAAAGGUAUCAAUAUUGUAUAGUAAUGUUUGUUACUUCCUUACAGUGCAAGGUUAUCAUGUCCUGUGGACCGACACUUAAGCUCUUGAUUUUAUCAUUUUAUUGCACAUACUGUGAUAUUGAAUUAGCGGAUUAGUAAAUUAAUAUUAUUGUGGUUUUAUAUUACAUUUUUCAAGUUACCAGGGAAUUGGAGUCUGUCAAAGUAUUGUAACAGCUUCAAUUGAAGAUCUUAAUGGUUAUAAGUUUGAGAAGAAUUACUUGCGAACCUUAUGCAAAGUGAUGCUUCGAUUGAAGAUCCUAAUGGUUAUAAGUUUGAAGACACCAAGAUUUUACAUGUUGAACGAAGGAAUGCUCUUUCUUUGAUAUAAUUUGACCUGCUCAAAAUUCUUCUUUUAAUGGAAAUGGACACAAGAUAGAGGAAGCGGGAUAUUAUGUAUUGUUAUAUCUCUUAGUAUUGUUAUAUCUUAGUGUUUUAGAGGCAUCUUGGCUGUAUGUUGUAGUUUUUGUAUUGUUAUAUCUUAGUAUCAGUGACGACCCUUGCAAGCGUAGUAGUGAUAAUUUAGUCUUGGUUAUGUUUUGGAUUGAUUAUGUAUUUUUGGAUAAGUAGAUGGUAAUACUUAAAUAUAAAUAUAAAUAUAUUAUGUUCA